rnacentral:tRNA from 4 species
GUUCCCAUAGUGUAGUGGUUAUCACGGUGGUUUUUGAUACCACAAACUCUGGUUCGAAUCCAGGUGGGAACU